CCUACGGGGGGCAGCAGUAGGGAAUCUUCCACAAUGGGCGCAAGCCUGAUGGAGCAACACCGCGUGAGUGAAGAAGGGUUUCGGCUCGUAAAGCUCUGUUGUUGGAGAAGAACGUGCGUGAGAGUAACUGUUCACGCAGUGACGGUAUCCAACCAGAAAGUCACGGCUAACUACGUGCCAGCAGCCGCGGUAAUACGUAGGUGGCAAGCGUUAUCCGGAUUUAUUGGGCGUAAAGCGAGCGCAGGCGGUUGCUUAGGUCUGAUGUGAAAGCCUUCGGCUUAACCGAAGAAGUGCAUCGGAAACCGGGCAACUUGAGUGCAGAAGAGGACAGUGGAACUCCAUGUGUAGCGGUGGAAUGCGUAGAUAUAUGGAAGAACACCAGUGGCGAAGGCGGCUGUCUGGUCUGCAACUGACGCUGAGGCUCGAAAGCAUGGGUAGCGAACAGGAUUAGAUACCCCAGUAGC
rnacentral:rRNA from 1 species